UGAGGGAAAGGUGAAAAGCACCCCGGGAGGGGAGUGAAACAGUACCUGAAACCGUGCGCCCACGAGCAGUCGGAGCACCUUUAUGGUGUGACGGCGUGCCUUUUGUAGAAUGAGCCAGCGAGUCGCUGGCGCGGGGCGAGGUUAACCGAAAGGGAGCCGGAGCGAAAGCGAGCCUUAACAGGGCGACUUGAGUCCCGCGCCGCGGACGCGAAGCCGGGUGAGCUAUCCGUGGGCAGGCUGAAGCGGGGGUAAGACCCCGUGGAGGGCCGAACGCACGUCGGUUGAAAACGGCGGCGAUGACCUGCGGAUAGGGGUGAAAGGCCAAUCAAACCCGGAGAUAUCUCGUUCUCCCCGAAAUAGCUUUAGGGCUAGCGUCGCGCGUUCACCGCCGGAGGUAGAGCACCGGAUGGACGAGGGGGCUUCGCCGCCUACCGAAUCCAACCGAACUCCGAAUGCCGGCGGCCCAGAGCGCGGCAGUCAGAGCAUGUGGGCUAAGCUGUGUGCUCGAGAGGGAAACAGCCCGGACCGCCCGCUAAGGUCCCCAAGUUCCAGCCGAGUGGCAAAGGAUGUGCGUCCGCCCAGACAACCAGGAUGUUGGCUUAGAAGCAGCCAUGCAUUCAAAGAGUGCGUAACAGCUCACUGGUCGAGUGGACAUGCGCCGACAAUACACGGGGCUAAGCUGGACACCGAAGCGGCGGGAUUUUGAUUUACAGAAUCGGUAGGGGAGCUUCCCAUGGGCGGAGAAGCCGGAGGGCGACCGACGGUGGAGCGCAUGGGAGUGAGAAUGCUGGCAUGAGUAGCGAGAGACGAGAGAGUAACUCGUCCGCCGUGAACCCGAGGUUUCCUGGGCAAGGCUAAUCCUCCCAGGGUCAGUCGGGGGCUAAGGCGAGGCCGGUAGGCGUAGCCGACGCGCAGCAGGCAGACAUUCCUGCACCGCGCACGCGGCGCUACGACCGACGGGGCGACGGAUGGGGGUGGCUCGGCGGGGUUCUGGACGUCCCCGUGAUGGAGCGCGGCCCGCGGACCAGGGAAAUCCGGUCCGCACGAGGGCGAGGCUCCGGACGAAGCGAUUGAGCGAAGCGAGUGAGCCCGAGGUCCCUAGAAAAACCCCUAGGCAGGCGCGUGCGCGCCCGUACCGCAAACCGACACAGGUGGGUGGGUAGAACAUACCGAGGCGAUCGGGUCAACCAUGGUCAAGGAACUCGGCACAAUGGCCCCGUAACUUCGGGAGAAGGGGUGCCCGCGCGUACGUGAACCGGCUCGCCCGGGGAGCGGAGGCGGGCCGCAGUGGAGAGGCCCAAGCGACUGUUUACCAAAAACACAGGACUCUGCAGAAGCCGCAAGGCGACGUAUAGGGUCUGACGCCUGCCCGGUGCCGGAAGGUCACGCGGAGGAGUUAGCGCAUCGCGCGAAGCCCCGAAGCCAAGCCCCGGUAAACGGCGGCCGUAACUAUAACGGUCCUAAGGUAGCGAAAUUCCUUGUCGGGUAAGUUCCGACCUGCACGAAAGGCGCAACGACUUGGGCGCUGUCUCGACCAUGGACCCGGUGAAAUUGCACUGGUCGUGAAGAUGCGACUUACCCGCGGAAGGACGGAAAGACCCCGUGAACCUUCACUGCAGCUUGGCAUUGGCCGCUGGUCCCGCGUGUAGAGGAUAGGCAGGAGGCAUCGAUCCGGAGGCGCCAGCCCCCGGGGAGCCGCCCUUGGAAUACUGCCCUCGCGCGACCGGCGUCCUAACCCGAGGCCGUCAACCGGCUCGGGGACCGUGCCAGGCGGGCAGUUUGACUGGGGCGGUCGCCUCCUAAAGGGUAACGGAGGCGCGCGAAGGUCCGCUCGGGACGGUCGGCAACCGUCCUUUUGAAUGCAAGAGUACAAGCGGGCUUGACUGCGAGGCCCACAAGCCGAGCAGGUGCGAAAGCAGGCUCUAGUGAUCCGGCGGCCCCGAGUGGGUGGGCCGUCGCUCAACGGAUAAAAGGUACUCCGGGGAUAACAGG
rnacentral:rRNA from 1 species